UACGUAGGGUGCAAGCGUUAAUCGGAAUUACUGGGCGUAAAGCGUGCGCAGGCGGUUGUGCAAGACAGAUGUGAAAUCCCCGGGCUUAACCUGGGAAUUGCAUUUGUGACUGCACGGCUAGAGUGUGUCAGAGGGGGGUAGAAUUCCACGUGUAGCAGUGAAAUGCGUAGAUAUGUGGAGGAAUACCGAUGGCGAAGGCAGCCCCCUGGGAUAACACUGACGCUCAUGGCACGAAAGCGUGGGGAGCAAACAGG
rnacentral:rRNA from 1 species